rnacentral:rRNA from 1 species
UACGUAGGGUGCGAGCGUUAAUCGGAAUUAUUGGGCGUAAAGCGCGUGUAGGCGGCUUUGCAAGUCGGGUGUGAAAGCCCUCAGCUCAACUGAGGAAGUGCGCCCGAAACUGCAGAGCUUGAGUACCGGAGAGGAUGGCGGAAUUCCCCAAGUAGAGGUGAAAUUCGUAGAUAUGGGGAGGAACACCGGUGGCGAAGGCGGCCAUCUGGACGGAUACUGACGCUGAGACGCGAAAGCGUGGGGAGCAAACAGG